GCUCCGCCCCCCCCCCCUUUGGAGGCGCGAGAUUCUGGAAAAACGCCGGGGGAGGGGGAAGGGGAGGGAACCCUGGAUCCUGCGGGAGGGGGACGCAUUCCUCACCCGCUCCUCUUCAUCUCUUGCGUCCGUUUACCUUCCCCGCCCAGAUUCAGUACCUCUCGCCAGACUCUCACCUGGAUCCCAGACUCCUUCUUCUCCAGUCUUCUGAGCGGACGCAUCUCGACGCUGAAAGAUGAGACCGGAGCAAUCUUCAUCGACAGGGACCCUACAGUCUUCGCCCCCAUCCUCAACUUCCUGCGCACCAAAGAGUUGGAUCCCAGACCCUGACCUCUAGUCAAUUCUACUACCCAGGGGUGUCCACGGUUCCAGCCUCCUCCAUGAAGCCCAGUUCUAUGGGCUCACUCCUCUGGUUCGUCGCCUGCAGCUUCGAGAGGAGUUGGAUCGAUCUUCUUGUGGAAACGUCCUCUUCAAUGGUUACCUGCCGCCACCAGUGUUCCCAGUGAAGCGGCGGAACCGGCACAGCCUAGUGGGGCCUCAGCAGCUAGGAGGACGGCCAGCCCCUG
rnacentral:lncRNA from 1 species